UACGGAAGGGGGCUAGCGUUGCUCGGAAUCACUGGGCGUAAAGCGCACGUAGGCGGACUCUUAAGUCAGGGGUGAAAUCCUGGAGCUCAACUCCAGAACUGCCUUUGAUACUGGAAGGCUUGAAUCCGGGAGAGGGAUGCGGAAUUCCAGGUGUAGCGGUGAAAUGCGUAGAUAUCUGGAGGAACACCGGUGGCGAAGGCGGCAUCCUGGACCGGUAUUGACGCUGAGGCGCGAAAGCCAGGG
rnacentral:rRNA from 1 species